rnacentral:misc_RNA from 1 species
GAAAUGCGAUAACUAGUGUGAAUUGCAGAAUUCCGUGAAUCAUCGAGUCUUUGAACGCACAUUGCGCCCCCUGGUAUUCCGGGGGGCAUGCCUGUCCGAGCGUCAUUGCUGCCCAUCAAGCACGGCUUGUGUGUUGGGUCGUCGUCCCCUCUCCGGGGGUGACGGGCCCCAAAGGCAGCGGCGGCACCGCGUCCGAUCCUCGAGCGUAUGGGGCUUUGUCACCCGCUCUGUAGGCCCGGCCGGCGCUUGCCGAACGCAAAUCAAUCUUUUUCCAGGUUGACCUCGGAUCAGGUAGGGAUACCCGCUGAACUUAAGC